rnacentral:rRNA from 1 species
GAACGCGAAAGUCCUUCGGGGGCGAGUAGAGUGGCGCAAGGGUGAGUAACGCGUGGGUAAUCUGCCUGGAAGUGGGGGAUAGCCUCGGGAAACCGAGGGUAAUACCGCAUACGUUUCGAGCGGCGCGAGCCGCACGGAGCAAAGAUGGGGAUCUUCGGACCUGUCGCUUCCAGAUGAGCCCGCGUCCGAUUAGCUUGUUGGUGAGGUAACGGCUCACCAAGGCCUCGAUCGGUAGCCGGCCUGAGAGGGUGAUCGGCCACAUUGGGACUGAGACACGGCCCAGACUCCUACGGGAGGCAGCAGUGGGGAAUUUUGGGCAAUGGGCGCAAGCCUGACCCAGCGACGCCGCGUGGAGGAUGAAGGCCUUCGGGUUGUAAACUCCUGUCAGGCGGGAAGAAAAGCUCGCCGGUAAAUAGCCGGCGGGAAUUGACGGUACCGCCAAAGGAAGCCACGGCUAACUUCGUGCCAGCAGCCGCGGUAAUACGAAGGUGGCGAGCGUUAUCGGAAUCACUGGGCUUAAAGAGCACGUAGCGGACAGUCAAGCGUCUUGUGAAAUCCCUCGGCUUAACCGAGGAACUGCUUGGCGAACUGGCUGUCUUGAGGCAAGUAAGGGCGCGUGGAACUCUUGGUGGAGCGGUGGAAUGCGUAGAUAUCAAGAGGAACGCCGGAGGUGAAGACGGCGCGCUGGGCUUGUCCUGGCGCUGAGGUGCGAAAGCCAGGGGAGCGAACGGGAUUAGAUACCCCGGUAGUCCUGGCCCUAAACGAUGUCCACUAGGUCGAUGGUUCUCUGACGGAUUGUCGGCCGAAACCAAAGCGUUAAGUGGACCGCCUGGGGAGUACGGUCGCAAGGCUAAAACUCAAAGGAAUUGACGGGGACUCACACAAGCGGUGGAGCAUGUUGCUUAAUUCGAUGCAACGCGAAGAACCUUAUCCUGGGCUUGACAUGUAUGGAUGCCUACCUGGAAACAGGAUCGGUUGCCCUUCGGGGUGAAACUUACACAGGUGCUGCAUGGCUGUCGUCAGCUCGUGUCGUGAGAUGUUGGGUUAAGUCCCGUAACGAGCGAAACCCUUGUCGCUAGUUGCCAGCGGGUAAUGCCGGGGACUCUAGCGAGACUGCCGGUGUCAAACCGGAGGAAGGUGGGGAUGACGUCAAGUCCUCAUGGCCUUUAUGCCCAGGGCUGCAAACGUGCUACAAUGGCCGAGACAAAACGACGCAAGACCGCGAGGUGGAGCUAAUCGGAAAAAAUCGGCCUCAGUUCGGAUUGGAGUCUGCAACUCGACUCCAUGAAGUUGGAAUCGCUAGUAAUCGCGUAUCAGCCACGACGCGGUGAAUGUGUUCCUGAGUCUUGUACACACCGCCCGUCAAGUCAUGGAAGCCGGGAGCGCCCGAAGUCG